GGGUCGUUAGCUCAGCUGGUAGAGCAGCGGACUUUUAAUCCGUUGGUCGCAGGUUCGAACCCUGCACGACCCACCA
rnacentral:tRNA from 2 species